AUACGGAGGAUGCGAGCGUUAUCCGGAUUUAUUGGGUUUAAAGGGUGCGCAGGCGGCCAUUUAAGUCAGCGGUUAAAUCGUGGGGCUCAACCCCAUUCUGCCGUUGAUACUGGGUGGCUUGAUUGCGGUCGAGGUUGGCGGAAUUCGUUGUGUAGCGGUGAAAUGCGUAGAUAUGACGAAGAACACCGAUUGCGUAGGCAGCUGACCAGACCGCAAAUGACGCUCAUGCACGAAAGUGCGGGGAUCGAACAGGAUUAGAUACCCUGGUAGUCCGCACAGUAAACGAUGAAUACUUGUUUUCGGCGAUAUAAUGUCGGAGGCAAAGCGAAAGCGAUAAGUAUUCCACCUGGGGAGUACGCCGGCAACGGUGAAACUCAAAUGAAUUGGCGGGG
rnacentral:rRNA from 1 species